UGGCCACGUGGACUCAGGUGCACUUCGCCACCACUGGCAAAAAAUGGUCAUUACAGGUGUCCACUCCCAGGGACAGCUGCAGCAGUCUGGGCCUGAGCUUGUGAGGCCUAGGACCUCAGUGAAAUUGUCCUGCAGGGCCUCUGAUGAUAUCACUUAUCACUAUAUUCACUGGGUGAAGCAGAGUCCUAGCCAGGGCCUGGAGUGGAUUGCCAGGAUUCAUUCUGAAGGUGAUAAUACUAAAUACAAUCAGAAGUUCAAAGGCAAGGCCAUACUGACUGCAGACACAUUUUCAAGCACAGUGUACAUGGAGCUCAGAAGCCUGACAUCUGAAGACUCUGCAGUCUAUUACUGUGCAAGACACAGUGUUGCAACCACAUCCUGA